UGCACACCUACUGACCAAAACAUUACUCAGUGUUUCAGCAUUCAUACAGAAUGACCAGCAUUUUCUCAGUGUGAAUCAAAAGUGAAGAAACAGUCCGAGGUGAAGUGGCUAAUCAAACAAGUGGGGUUCCAAAGCCUCCAGCCCUCGACAGCACGCUAAGCUUGCUAUUAAAAGAACUCAAGAAAGGGAGACCUGUCCAUCCCACUAACAGUCUUUCCUGAGGGGACGUCCUCUGGGGAGGACACACGUGCCCACCGCUGAGGAUUUCAGGAGAACAUUAAGCAGAAACAGGAAGUUUAGUCUGCUUACAAAGUAAGAAAAUGUCCAUGCCAGAUGUGAGUGACGUGAUGCAGUUUCUGCCUAUGGUGUCAUGUGCAGCAAGUAAACAGGAAACAAUAUUUAAGGUCAGAGGUCAUCUGAACCCUGUGGUGUGCGG